rnacentral:rRNA from 1 species
GGUAACAGCCCUGUAGUCAAAACUUCGUUCUCUCCUGAGUGGAUCCUGAGUACGGCGGAACACGUGAAAUUCCGUCGGAAUCCGGGAGGACCAUCUCCCAAGGCUAAAUACUCCCUAGUGACCGAUAGUGAACCAGUACCGUGAGGGAAAGGUGAAAAGCACCCCGGAAGGGGAGUGAAAGAGAUCCGGAAACCGUGUGCCUACAAGUAGUCAGAGCCCGUUAACGGGUGAUGGCGUGCCUUUUGUAGAAUGAACCGGCGAGUUACGAUCCCGUGCAAGGUUAAGCAGAAGAUGCGGAGCCGCAGCGAAAGCGAGUCUGAAUAGGGCGAAUUGAGUACGUGGUCGUAGACCCGAAACCAGGUGAUCUACCCAUGUCCAGGGUGAAGUUCAGGUAACACUGAAUGGAGGCCCGAACCCACGCACGUUGAAAAGUGCGGGGAUGAGGUGUGGGUAGGGGUGAAAUGCCAAUCGAACCUGGAGAUAGCUGGUUCUCUCCGAAAUAGCUUUAGGGCUAGCCUCAAGGUAAGAGUCUCGGAGGUAGAGCACUGAUUGGACUAGGG